UGUGAAGACUACUGGAAAUUA
rnacentral:piRNA from 1 species